UCAUGGCCUUACGGCCUGGCUACACACGUGCUACAAUUGGUCGGUACAGAGGGUUGCCAAGCCGCGAGGUGGAGCUAAUCUCACAAAACCGAUCGUAGUCCGGAUCACAGUCUGCAACUCGACUGCGUGAAGUCGGAAUCGCUAGUAAUCGCGAAUCAGAAUGUCGCGGUGAAUACGUUCCCGGGCCUUGUACACACCGCCCGUCACACCAUGGGAGUGGGUUGCACCAGAAGUAGCUAGUCUAACCUUCGGGAGGACGGUUACCACGGUGUGAUUCAUGACUGGGGUGAAGUCGUAACAAGGUAGCCGUAGGGGAA
rnacentral:rRNA from 1 species